rnacentral:rRNA from 1 species
ACACGUAGGGAGCAAGCGUUGUCCGGAUUUAUUGGGCGUAAAGAGCUCGUAGGCGGUUUUGUAAGUCGGAUGUGAAAACUCAGGGCUCAACCCUGAGACGCCAUCCGAUACUGCAAUGACUAGAGUCCGGUAGGGGAGCAUGGAAUUCCUGGUGUAGCGGUGGAAUGCGCAGAUAUCAGGAGGAACACCAGUGGCGAAGGCGGUGCUCUGGGCCGGUACUGACGCUGAGGAGCGAAAGCAUGGGGAGCAAACAGGAUUAGAAACCCUAGUAGUCC